CAGCUUGUUGGUGAGGUAAUGGCUCACCAAGGCGACGAUCCGUAGCUGGUCUGAGAGGACGAUCAGCCACACUGGGACUGAGACACGGCCCAGACUCCUACGGGAGGCAGCAGUGGGGAAUCUUGCGCAAUGGGCGAAAGCCUGACGCAGCGACGCCGCGUGAGGGAAGAAGGCCUUCGGGUUGUAAACCUCUUUCAGGAGGGACGAAGCCACUCAGGUUAAUAGCCGAGAGGGUGACGGUACCUCCAGAAGAAGCCCCGGCUAACUACGUGCCAGCAGCCGCGGUAAUACGUACGGGGCAAGCGUUGUCCGGAAUUAUUGGGCGUAAAGAGCGUGUAGGCGGCCAGAUAAGUCCGCUGUGAAAACUCGAGGCUCAACUUCGAGCUGUCGGUGGAAACUAUCUGGCUAGAGUCCGGAAGAGGAGAAUGGAAUUCCUGGUGUAGCGGUGAAAUGCGCAGAUAUCAGGAAGAACACCCGUGGCGAAGGCGGUUCUCUGGGACGGUACUGACGCUGAGACGCGAAAGCGUGGGGAGCGAACAGGAUUAGAUACCCUGGUAGUCCACGCCGUACACGAUGGGUGCUA
rnacentral:rRNA from 1 species